rnacentral:rRNA from 1 species
GAAUCAGGUAGGAAUACCCGCUGAACUUAAGCAUAUCAAAGCCGGAAGGAAAUCAUUACCGAGUUAUACAACUCAUCAACCUGGUGAAACAUACCUAAA